CAGACAACCAAAAUCAUCUUGUCAAAAACCAUCAUCUGCAGGAGUUACAAGGUUUGUCUGACACAGUCAAGUCUACAUUCGGUUUUGUGAAAGAAACAGCAAAUGCUUGCAGUAAUGGUAUUGUUGCUAGUCUGAUGGUGGCUGAAAGUACUGCUCACAAGUCAUCAAACGGUGUUCGGUAAAACGUCGCAUCAAUUACGGGUAUACUAGUAACGUGCCGCGCCGGCGAAUAUCUUUGAUCCCCAAAAAGUUAACUCGAAGCUACAAGGUGACGAAUCUAGGUGUACGUCGCUCCCAUCGUGUUCGGAUAAUUAAACCUUAUUGUUUUCCGAUAGUAAUGCACGACUCUGACAUUUUCGAGAACGGCGACACAACAGUGUUCGUGCCUAACAAAGUCCAGAAUCACGGCAUAACCGGAUUUGUGACGAAAAUAGCUCUAAAUCACGACACAACAGGAUGUGUGCCUUAAAACUACAUAUCUCAGAAUCACGGCACAACUGGAGUUUUCACUAACAUAGCCGUGAAUCAUGGCACAGCAGGAAUUGUGCCUAACAUAGAUCAGAAUUUUGGCACAACAGGAGUUUUGACAAACCUGGCUCAGAAUCUGUAGCUCAGAAUUAUGGCUUAGCUUGAUUUGUGACGAACAUAGCUCAGAACGAUGACACAUCCGGAAGUACGACUAACGUUGCUCAGUCAAUCGACUCUUUGGACGAUUUUGCGGCACCUUCAAAAGCAAAUUCUGUGUCGUUUUACAUAACUUCAAAUACCUACUCGACAAAUGGGGCCAUUUCUGAAUUAGGCAACGACGUAGGAGGUUCGGGAGUAACUUAUGUUGACAAUAACUCGCCUUUCAUUUGAAUACUGCCAAACCGUUCAGCUGCAGACGGCUUCAAGAAGGCUGUAACGUGGUAAAUAUGAGCCACGGAAUCAUAUUCUGAUGUUGGAUCUAAGAUAGACAGUUAAUCAAAUGGAAAUGCAUCUAUUUUGUUAGAGAGGAGAAUAUUGAAGGUGCUGUCGAUUUAAGUUGUUCUUAUUCAAUAUAUAUCUAAUAUCUUGUUUAUAAUGAAAGUAAAGAAACAAUGGAUUACCAUUUCGAAUGCCGAAUACCACCGCUUGUUCAUCUGUUUUAUCCUCAUAGAGAUUUCCUUUGUAGGCGAAAAUUAAUUUAUAGAGUAUGGGUGAUUUUUAUCUCAUUUUAAGGAUGUACC